UACCUGGUUGAUCCUGCCAGUAGUCAUAUGCUUGUCUCAAAGAUGAAACCAUGCAAGUCUAAGUACGAGCUCUCGUACAGUGAAACUGCGAAUGGCU
rnacentral:ncRNA from 1 species